rnacentral:rRNA from 1 species
GAUGAACGCUGGCGGCGUGCCAAAUACAUGCAAGUCGAGCGAACAGACGAGGAGCUUGCUCCUCUGACGUUAGCGGCGGACGGGUGAGUAACACGUGGAUAACCUACCUAUAAGACUGGGAUAACUUCGGGAAACCGGAGCUAAUACCGGAUAAUAUAUUGAACCGCAUGGUUCAAUAGUGAAAGACGGUUUUGCUGUCACUUAUAGAUGGAUCCGCGCCGCAUUAGCUAGUUGGUAAGGUAACGGCUUACCAAGGCAACGAUGCGUAGCCGACCUGAGAGGGUGAUCGGCCACACUGGAACUGAGACACGGUCCAGACUCCUACGGGAGGCAGCAGUAGGGAAUCUUCCGCAAUGGGCGAAAGCUUGACGGAGCAACGCCGCGUGAGUGAUGAAGGUCUUCGGAUCGUAAAACUCUGUUAUUAGGGAAGAACAAAUGUGUAAGUAACUAUGCACGUCUUGACGGUACCUAAUCAGAAAGCCACGGCUAACUACGUG